UACGUAGGGUGCGAGCGUUGUCCGGAAUUAUUGGGCGUAAAGGGCUCGUAGGCGGUCCGUUGCGUCAGGAGUGAAAACUCGGGGCUUAACCCCGAGCCUGCUUCUGAUACGGGCAGACUAGAGGUAUGCAGGGGAGAACGGAAUUCCUGGUGUAGCGGUGAAAUGCGCAGAUAUCAGGAGGAACACCGGUGGCGAAGGCGGUUCUCUGGGCAUUACCUGACGCUGAGGAGCGAAAGUGUGGGGAGCGAACAGG
rnacentral:rRNA from 1 species